rnacentral:rRNA from 1 species
CACGCAGGCGGUUCCGAAAGUCGAAUGUGAAAGCUCCCGGCCCAACUGGGAGAGGCCGUUCGAAACUUCGGGACUUGAAGGCGGGAGAGGCAGAUGGAAUUUCCGGUGUAGCGGUAAAAUGCGUAGAUACCGGAAGGAACACCAGUGGCGAAAGCGAUCUGCUGGCCCGCCCUUGACGCUCAGGUGCGAAAGCUAGGGGAGCGACCGGGAUUAGAUACCCCGUUAGUCCUAGCUGUAAACAAUGGGCACUAGGUGUUGUCGGUAUCGACCCCGGCAGUGCCGAAGCUAACGCAUUAAGUGCCCCGCCUGGGGAGUACGACCGCAAGGUUAAA